UCUAAUAUGGCAGAAAUAUGCCUUGGAUUUAAGCCCCAAUCAUGAUUUAUUAACUAAUUCUAUUAGAA
rnacentral:tRNA from 1 species